rnacentral:rRNA from 1 species
UGACACUGAACAUUGAGCCUUGAUGUGUAGGAUAGGUGGGAGGCUUUGAAGUGUGGACGCCAGUCUGCAUGGAGCCGGCCUUGAAAUACCACCCUUUAAUGUUUGAUGUUCUAACGUUGACCCGUGAUCCGGGUUGCGGACAGUGUCUGGUGGGUAGUUUGACUGGGGCGGUCUCCUCCUAAAGAGUAACGGAGGAGCACGAA